UCGAGGAUCUUCGGCAAUGGGCGCAAGCCUGACCGAGCGACGCCGCGUGUGCGAUGAAGGCCUUCGGGUUGUAAAGCACUGUCGAGGGGGAGGAAGGCCCGCAAGGGCUUGACCUAUCCCUGGAGGAAGCACGGGCUAAGUUCGUGCCAGCAGCCGCGGUAAGACGAACCGUGCGAACGUUGUUCGGAAUCACUGGGCUUAAAGGGCGCGUAGGCGGGCGAUCAAGUCUGGGGUGAAAGCCUCCGGCCUAACCGGAGAAGAGCUUCAGAUACUGGUGGCCUCGAGGGAGGUAGGGGCAUGCGGAACUUCCGGUGGAGCGGUGAAAUGCGUAGAGAUCGGAAGGAACGCCGGUGGCGAAAGCGGCGUGCUGGACCUCUUCUGACGCUGAGGCGCGAAAGCCAGGGGAGCAAACGGGAUUAGAUACCCCCGUAGUCC
rnacentral:rRNA from 1 species